AGCGAGAUAGGCAUGGUUUCUUCUUCUUUUUGGUCUCUUUCGCUGAGCAACCCUAACAACAUUAGUAUCUGUACGAAGAAGUAACUAGCCCGUUUAUCUUUUUCCAAUCCUUCUCCUCUCCGCUACAACCACACAAGAAAUAUUCCGAGGUUUCAAAAAUUUAGCCCUAAGGCCUAAUGGACACCCCCCUUCAGUUUUGAUUUGAAUGGUAGUUUCUUCUCAGAAGGGCGAAGCUGUGGUAGAACUCCUGUCUGAAGAUUCAUCGAGCUAGCAUUGAUAUUUGCGUAGGGGUAUUGUAAUGAGAAGCAUAUCAAUAGAUCAGCGAUUUCCAUCAGUGACUAAAGAUGCUGCUAAAACUGUCGUAACCAGUAAAUACUUCUUCGUCAUGAUGAGAACAAUAAUUACCAUAACUCGAGGAUAUUAAAGAAUCAGAAUCAGUUUUAUUUGGUAUCGUAAAAAGUGCAUUCGGUAGUCUGUUUAAUCUCCUUCAAAAGCAGCUCAGGUGGAACCAUGGUUUUCUUCCAUUGGUAUCGUAGGUAUGAAAUCUAUUAGAUGCAGCUUUAUUAAUGUUAAUUGUUUGUGAUGGAAUAAGCGCUGCCCAAGUUAUGAAACACUGCCUAUGAAAUCUAUUAGAUGCAUCUUUUUAUGUUUGUUUAUAUACAAGGUUGUGAUGGUUCAAUUCUUCUUAAUUGGACAAGCACAAAUCAAACUGAGAAAGCUGCAAUUUCUAGGAUAUCCCUAAGAGGUUUCAGUAUUAUUGAUGCUACAAAGGCUGCAGUGAAAAAAGUGUUCCAUGUUGUUUCAUGUGCACUAGCUAGCAUUGUCUGCAAGAGAUUCGGUAGCUAUGGUAACUAAUUAACAAUAAUGGACAGACUGAUCCAUACACAUAGUCUAAAUAGUGUUUUUUUUUUUAAAAGUCUAUACAAAUUAAAGGACCAUGGUGGAAUGUACUUACUGGGCGAGUAUCGACUAUUGGAGAUGCUUUUACACAUCUACCACCACCGUUCUUCAAUGUCACUCAAUUGGCAUUGAAGGGGUUGAAUGCAAAAGACCUUGCAGUCUUAUCAGGUACAUAAGCAUAAAUUUAUGAAUAAGUUGGUGGAUACUUAGGCAGCUGAUAUUUCGAAGUCAUGGAUGAAAAAGUAUGUUUUGUAAAACUAUAUAAGCACACUUGCUUGAUUAAAUUAGGUCGAAACACUUUCUUUAAGGUUAAUGUUGUAAAGUAGGUAGUUGAUGUGCGAUAUAUACCUGUUAAAGAAAAAUGAUCAAAGUCGUAAUUUUUACACUUCUUCAUUCAUAAUUGUUUUAUUUGUUGCUCUAAAAUUUGGUGUUGCUAACCAUUAAGUUUUGAAUAUUAGGAUGGCUUUUGUGAUUUCAUGUGAAAACAAAGAAAACACAAGCUAUUUUGACAUUCAGUAACCCGAGCAAUUUUGUAAACACUGAGCUUUGUUUACAAAUCCACAAAGGUGAUGACAUAUAUUCUUUUUUAUAUAUAGCUCUAUUGCUGAUCCUAAUUUAUAUGAUUUGGCAGUGUUUGUAUGAGUGGGAAAUCAAGGAUCUUAUUAUUAUGGUUACCACUAAUAUGUGGUUAGUGUUUGUAAUUUGCUUAUAUUCAUUUUAGAAAAUAAUGGAGUUGCAGAUCACUCUACAACUGAAGGUUAUUCUGCAGGGCUGAUCAUAAAAGAACAAUGAGUAAUUGACUCAAGGUCCUCAAUUAUUAUGCCACACUGUUAGUCUCUUUAGUUGUGUUGUGAUGCAGUGGGAAUCAAGAUGGAUUGAUUUGUCAAAGGCAGAAAAUUCGAGAUGUUUAAUUAUUUUUUAGAAUGACUUAUACAAUCGCAAAUAGAUUGGAAUAAUAAGGAAAGGCAUAUAGGGAAUAAUCCCAUGGGAAAUGUUUCUUA